AGGCUGAGGAAUUUUUAGAGCAGCACGGGGGCAGAUAUGUCCCUACACAGUUUUUCUAGCUGAAUUGCUCUGUAAUCCACCCUCACAUCUGCUGGCCAAGUGGAAAGGAAUCCUGUUGAAAGGGGAGAGACAAGCAUGGAAAAAGAAGGAAGAAAAAAAAAAAAAAACAAUGAGCAGAAAUUGCAACUUUGCAGCACAUGGGCAGAACAAACAUGAGGACUGCAUCCUUCCCACAGUCACUGCUGCAGGAAAGGUGAGGAUGGGGAGCUGAGGACAGAUGGUUCUCUGCCCUGAAACAUCCCAAAGGGUGCUGCUGACCACUGCAGCCCUCCUCCCAGUCUCUUCAAGUCUUUGUGCUCCCAGUAGGAGCUGAACUGUUUUUCAGGACAUGCAGCAGCAUUGCUCAGGGUACUACAGAGCCAGCUGUGAAGAUGAAGGAUUGCUGCUGUGAUUCUGCUGCGUGGUGUGACCACACCGGUUAGUUCAGCUGAUCAAACGUGGAGGUGUGAUCUGCUGCCCUGGACAUCUCAAAUCUGAUUAGCAAAGCGUGACCCUAGAGCUGGGCAACAUGCACUGAAUCAAACAGUUUGGGACGGUUAAAAAUGGCCUUUCCUCUGAAUUAAAGGCUCACAGCAAUAUCUUAUUUUGUCUUUUUGUUUUUGGUUUUAUUUUUAUUUUCUUUUUCUUUUUCGCCCUAGAGAAAUACACCCCAAACAACAGCAACAACAACAAAAAUAAAGUCAGUUUUCAUUCAUCCUCCUCCUCUUUUUUUUUUUUUUUUUUUUUUUUUUUUUGGUAAAAGAAAAGAAAGAAGUUUUCUGAGGGUGAAAACUCAAUGGCUGGAUGUUUGGACCGAUACAAAUGAAAAAUGUCAUAAUAACAAAUUGCUCUUGUCUAAAGAUUGUUGAAUGAAAAUUGCUAUUUUUUUUAUUCAUGAAAAGAUCUGUAUGUGGGUAAAUAAUUAUAUAUAAUAGCUCCUAACAGCUGACUUCUACAAUGUAAGUGGCUCCCAGCAGCAGGGAAUGGCCCAGCCUAUGAAUGGAUCUCAUCCUGCCUUGGGCAACUCAGAUGCAGGACAGCUUAGGAUUCAAGACUUUUCCUCAUGAGGCUCUUCAGGCUCAUUUUCUCUGGGUGGUCUCCUCUGAGCUUGCUGAACCACACUUUGCUUUCAGGAAGGCUGCCAUCAUAUUCUUGGGCUCAGAAUGUUGUUGUCACACUUCUACAGGAGAGGCAUGCUGUGUCCUGGGACUGUGGUUGCCAUGCCUAGGGCUGUAUGGACAUGGACUCCCUCCUCAUCUUCUCCAAGUACUCCCCAUUGCAGUUAGGGUAUUUGUGCUGCUGUUGUUUCAUUUUCCCAAUGGAAUGGUCCCAAAAGAAGCCAGGCAAGGAAAAAAAUUGAGAUUUCCAGCUUAUGUAAGAUCAAAUAAUUUGAACAUGUAUGCAGGAAGGCUCAAGAACAUGUGUGGAGCCUGCAGGACUACCUGGAUAAAUGCCACAGUUUUGCAGUGGAGGGACCUGCACUUGGCCCAUGUCCACCCCUACAUGCAGGAUACUCAGCACAGAGGGCUUGGAUCCAAGCUCUGUGCCCACGUAGGGGCCAGUUGUGUUGAUGGGACAGCACAUCUUGUUUUCUCAAGGAACAGAGAUAUUGGGAUCACAGACCCCUGCCUACAACUUGCUUCACCCAGCCCUGAG
rnacentral:lncRNA from 1 species